UCAUAUCUCUACAGACUACUGCUGUCUUGUUGAUAGCUGUGCCUGUUUGGCUGCAGUCCAGAAGAUACAGUGGUAUGCUGAAGAGGCAGAAAGGGGUAGCUUAAAAACAAUUCACAUCACAGGGAAAAAUUUGCAAGUCCAUGGGAAAAAUGUGUCAACAUGAAAGACCAGCCUCAUCAAUGCUGCCUCUUGGGUAGAAUUUAUUGUAUCAUCUUGAAUGCAAAGUCUGCUCUCUCUGAGGAAGAUGUCAGUGAAUACCAUGAGCAAAUCUGAAUUCAGGAGCUGACCAAUGAAAAUUGGAAAGGUUUACAGAGUUUAAAUUACUGCAAAGUUCCUGUUAAUAUUUGACCAAACAAGCUUUAUAAAUUCAGAGAUGAGACAGAAUGUGGGUUGCUUCUUGUUUAGUUCUGUUUUUUAGAAGAAAAAUUUAGACUGGAAAUCAACUUUUCAGGAGUAAAACUUAUUUCUGUUAGAGCCUGCUGUGCCUGUUCAUACAACCCUAUGUGGAGAAGAUUCUGAGAAGAAAAAAAGAAGAAGAAGAAGAAAACAUAAUAAAUCUGAAGUGAUACGAUAUGUCCCAGCAAAUGUGAAUUGUGAAUCACAAAGAAGGAAAUGUAUGAGAGCAGCUCUGAAAAGAUUUUUUUAUGUUGGUCUAUGGCAACAGAGGUGGAUGAUGGUGGUUUCUCAGUGGGCUGAACCUUCCUGUCAGUAUCCUAUUGCUGUGUGACAGAUUGCAACAGAAGAGCAGAUGGACAAAAUUGCAUUUGACAUGGAAGUGUGUAUACAGUAAAGUAAAAGCAAUUGCCUGAACAUCCAUAUGAAGACUUGUCUGGGAACUGAUGUAUCAUGGCCUGAACCUCUGACUGGCCACCCGAGGUGAGCAGUGAGUCAGCUGUGGGAGCACAGGUGAAGGCAAUUCACUUGUGUGACCAGAUGGCACAGCCUGGCUCACCUCUCCUAGACCCAUUUAAGGACUGACUGCCACCAGGGAAGGAUCUCUUUCUGGAGAUUGCUUCUCUUGGAGUUUUCCCUGUGAGCCUACACAGGUGUCUAUUAAAUGAUUUGAGAUCAGAAUGGCAGAAUGAGGUGCAAUUCAAUACAAUGUGAGAACUGGAGUUGAUAUAAUAAGGGUUAAUGAAACAAUUGACUUCUCUGGCCACAUGUGCACCAGACAGUAAAAAGUGUGAAAGAUGCCUACUUCUACCUGCAGUCUGAUGGCUGCUAAUCAAAUUGUAUACAACCAAACACAGUGAAAGAAAUAUCAAUUGUAUGAAUAAAAGGAGUGAAUUAUAGCAGUGAGUCUGGAGUAAGGAAUUAUUAAAGAGACCCUCUACAAUAAAGCAUAUGGACGAUUAUUCUGCGAGAUGGUGUGAAAUCCUCCACAGUAUCAGCUCCAAGACAUAAAACCUCUGAAACAAAUUUUAUUCUUAUGCCAAAGAAUCCGUGUUACAUUAUGGUACAUACAUUAUGGUGAAGCUAAAAAUAAUCAGCAAAGAACUGUGGAAAGUUCUUAGCAUCAGAUUAGUUACAGAAGAUUUUCAUGUUUGUGUUAGGUCAGGCUGGGUAUGUCAUUUUUUAAAAUACUGUAUCACAGAAUAUUGUCUUU